rnacentral:lncRNA from 1 species
UGUUGCUGAUGAAACUGCUUCGGCAGUAAGAUAUGACUUUAAAGGUAAAUAUGGUGUUCAUCAAUGUUUGAAAGGACAUGCAUUAAUAGAGAAUAAUGGAAAUAAAUACACUGAUAAUGCAGCAAAUAAGAUGUGAUGACAUGAAAUGAACGAAGUCUCUCUCUUCCCCUGUUUUUUUCCUGCUAUAAGUAUUUUCCCGUUUCUCAAUCUUGUAUCUUGUCAAAAUAGUUAUUGAUCUAAAUUUUACACUAGCCUUGCAUAACAUAUAUAGUUUUUCCAAAUGCAUAACCAUCUAAAUUUUAUACUAUGUUGCCUUGCAUAAAUAUUUAGAUCUCUUGGACCAGCCUGACAAAGAUAAACUGGGACACAGUAAUAAUCAUUCUGACAAUGGAAUAGACCAAUUAAUUCACCAUAAAAGGGUAACUGUUAAUUUACCUGUACGUGUGGAUUUUGUUGGUGGUUGGAGUGACACUCCUCCAUGGAGCUUAGAGCGUCCUGGUUGCGUGUUGAACAUGGCAAUUAAUUUGGAAGGUUCUCUUCCUGUUGGGACCUGUAUAGAAACAACGAAAACUUCUGGAGUUUUGUUCAGUGAUGAUGCUGGUAACGAGUUACAUAUUGAAGACCUUAACUCGAUUACCACUCCAUUUGAUAGUGAUGAUCCAUUUCGGCUUGUCAAAUCUGCGUUGCUCGUGACUGGCAUUAUUCACGAUCAUAUUCUAACUGUUGUU